rnacentral:rRNA from 1 species
UACGGAGGAUCCAAGCGUUAUCCGGAAUCAUUGGGUUUAAAGGGUCCGUAGGCGGUUUGGUAAGUCAGUGGUGAAAGCCCAUCGCUCAACGGUGGAACGGCCAUUGAUACUGCCAGACUUGAAUUAUUAGGAAGUAACUAGAAUAUGUAGUGUAGCGGUGAAAUGCUUAGAGAUUACAUGGAAUACCAAUUGCGAAGGCAGGUUACUACUAAUGGAUUGACGCUGAUGGACGAAAGCGUGGGUAGCGAAUAGG